rnacentral:rRNA from 1 species
CCCUUAGAUGUUCUGGGCCGCACGCGUGCUACACUGAUGCAUUCAACGAGUCUAAAACCUGGUCUGAGAGGGCUGGGUAAUCUUUUGAAAGUGCAUCGUGAUUGGGAUAGAUGAUUGCAAUUCUUCAUCUUCAACGAGGAAUGCCUAGUAAACGCAAGUCAUCAGCUUGCAUUGAUUACGUCCCUGCCCUUUGUACACACCGCCCGUCGCUCCUACCGAUUGAACGAUCCGAUGAAAACUGUGGAUUGAGAGUCUGAGUGGGUUCGCCUACCUCAACUUUCGAGAAGCGGUUUAAAUCUUAUCGUUUAGAGGAAGGAGAAGUCGUAACA